rnacentral:rRNA from 1 species
CAAACGCCGGGUUAAGGCGCCCGAUGCGGACGCGCAUGAGAGCCCAUGAAAGGUGUUGGUUGCUAUAGACAGCAGGACGGUGGCCAUGGAAGUCGGAAUCCGCUAAGGAGUGUGUAACAACUCACCUGCCGAAGCAACUAGCCCUGAAAAUGGAUGGCGCUCCAGCGUCGAGCCUAUACCCGGCCGCUGGCGGCAUUCUUGCGCUGAUGCCCCAGCGAGUAGGAGGGUCGUGGCGGUGGACGUCGAAGGUGUCAGGCGCGAGCCUGCCCGGAGUCGCCGCUAGCGCAGAUCUUGGUGGUAGUAGCAAAUACUCAAGUGAGACUCCUUGAGGACCGAAGUGGAGAAGGGUUCCAUGUGAACAGCAGUUGAACAUGGGUCAGUCGGCCCUAAGGAAUGGGAUAAUUCCGUUCCGAUCGGUCGGGCGUCUCGCCCGCUGGACCGAAAGGGAAUCCGGUUAAUAUUCCGGAACCAGGCUACAGGGAUCGGUUCCGUGCUCUGCUCGGCGCUCUUUUCCCGUUUUCUCCUACCCCCUUUGCGGGGGGAUAAGGAGUUGCGGGUGAGGUGCUGGGCUGGGUCGGAGCCCGUGGCGGCAACGCAAACAGGCUCGGAGACUGGCGGUGGGGGUCCCGGGAAGAGUUUUCUUUUCUUUGUAAGGGACGUACUCCAUGGAAUCGGCUUGCCCGGAGAUAUGGAUGUUGUUCCCGCAAAGCACCGCGGCUCUUGCGGUGUCCGGUCCACUUCCACCGUCCCAUGAAAAUCCGAGUCUGCGACAAGAUCUUUGUGCCUGACCGUACCCAUAUC